rnacentral:rRNA from 1 species
AAUCAACGCUGGCGGCGUGCCUAACACAUGCAAGUCGCACGAGAAGUGGAGCAAUCCAUGAGUAAAGUGGCGCACGGGUGAGUAACACGUGAAUAAUCUACCUCCGAGUGGGGAAGUAACUGAGAGAAAUACUUAGCUAAUACCGCAUAACACUUACGAGUCAAAGCAGCAAUGCGCUUGGAGAGGAGUUCGCGGCCGAUUAGUUAGUUGGC